CAAAGUCCCUAGCUGAUCGCCGAGCCUCGCGGCUGCGGAGGACUCCCGCAGGACUGCCGAUCCGCGCAGACCCGCAGAUCCCGCGUGCAUUCGCCCAGACCUCCUCUAACAGCCCCACCCGCAGAGCAUCCCGGCGCGCCUCUCACGCCCUGGAGUCGUCGUGGGGCCACUUGGCGGUUGGGAAGCUGUGGACUUUCAGUCCGGGAAACUCGCGCCCAGGGAAGCCUGGAGAGCCACGGCGCCAGGGGCGGCCCGGGGAAGGCAGGAUGAGCUGGCGAGCUGGUUGAGCACGCCGAGGAGCUGGUCCAGUCACCGCCAGAGACAUGGCGUCUUGGCUCUGGAGAAAGCUGCGUGGCAAGAGGCGGCUGGUGAUGGCGUUCUGCCUCUUGAUGACUCUAUCUGUGGUGGCUGUUACCCGCUUCCCCCCACAGCAUCCAGCUGCUGGCCUGGGCCCUGGUCCCGUGGAGCCCCGCGGAGAAACCGGCACCCCCGCCCCCCACAGCCGGCAGGCUCUGAGCUCCAGCUGGAGGCAGCGGGCAAGAAACCUGGGGUUCUGGAGAGGCUGGGCCUUGCCCAGGACUUCUGUCCUGGUGUGUGCUGAGGAGCAAGGCCACAGAGGGAGAGUGGACAAAAGCACGCAGUCCCUGGGAGGGGACAGCGGGCAUCCAGGAAGGGUCAGGAGAGACAUUACUUUGGCAUCUCUGGGAGAUUUGAGACUCAGUACCCGGCGUCUCGUGCUCCUGAGGGAAGAUGAGGUCAGAGGUCCAGGAGCCAAAGACCUCGGCACAGCCUGGCACAAUGGUCCCAUCCAGAAGGCACAGAAUGAGACAGGCACCCUGGAUGCCCUCCUCACAGGGCGUGACACGGCAGCUGUAAGGACUCUGAGAACUACUGCUGGACUGACCCCCCCACCCCAUCCAGUGGAAGGCAGGGAUCUGCCAGAAGCUGGCAAUAGAGGCUUGACUGGUGGGCAACAAGUACAGGAUCCUGCCCCAGCUGCAGGGGCUCGUCAGUGGCCUGGCUCUGUUGGGGAGCUGCAAGGAUCUGUCUGGUGUGAUGCUGAGACCCCUGGGUUGUUGAGCGACUCAAGGACCAGAGGGCAGGUUCCCCCAUGGCUCACAGAACAUGAUGUGCAGACCCUCCGGCUGUUGGCCCAGGGGGAGGUGGUGGGCAAAGCCAGGGUCCCCGGCCACGGGCAGGUCCUGCAGGUCGGCUUCUCCACUGAGGGCGCCCUACAGGACAUGUCUCCUGGGCUCAGCCGACUCUGCUCCCAGGGGCUCUGUGGCCUGAUCAAGAGGCCAGGGGACCUGCCCGAGGUCCUGUCCUUCCACGUGGACCGAGUGCUGGGGCUGCGUCGGAGCCUGCCUGCUGUGGCCCGGAGCUUCCACAGCCCCCUGCUGCCCUACCGCUACACGGACGGUGGCGCGAGGCCACUCAUCUGGUGGGCGCCCGAUGUGCAGCACCUGGGUGACCCAGAGGAUGACCAGAACUCUCUGGCCUUGGGCUGGCUGCAGUACCAGGCCCUGCUGGCACGUGGCUGCAGCCGGCCAGGCCAGGCCCCGUGCCCGGGCAUCCACCGCGCUGAGUGGGCUCGCCUGGCGCUCUUCGACUUCCUGCUGCAGGUCCAUGACCGCCUGGAUCGCUACUGCUGUGGCUUCGAGCCGGAGCCCUCAGACCCCUGUGUAGAAGAGAGGCUCCGAGAGAAAUGCCAGAACCCGGGUGAGCUGCGACUGGUCCACAUCCUGGUCCGGAGCAGCGACCCAUCUCAUCUGGUUUACAUCGAUAAUGCUGGCAACCUUCAGCACCCUGAGGACAAGCUGAACUUUCGGCUGCUGGAGGGCAUAGAUGGGUUUCCUGAGUCUGCCGUGAAGGUUCUCGCAUCAGGAUGUCUACAAAAUAUGCUGAUCAAGUCACUGCGGAUGGACCCGGUGUUCUGGGAAAGCCAAGGCGGGAGCCAGGGGCUGAAGCAGGUUCUCCAGACCCUGGAGCGGCGAGGACAGGUCCUGCUGGAACACAUCCGGAAGCACAACCUGACACUCUUCAGGGACGAGGACCUGUGAUUCCCCACACUGCCCAAGCAGGGCUCUCGCCUCACUGAUCUCUCACAACCUUUUCAAGGAGCUUCCAGCCUAGUGUGGGAGAGGGCAGCUGGACCCAUAAUCAACCAUCCUGCCUCGCAUGGGAAUGCAGAAGUGUCCUGGGCAAGAUUUAGGCCCUUGGAAGAGGGAGUUUGGCUUCAGAUGGUUCAGGUAUUUCUCUGAAGAUCAUCAGUAUGUUUGUCUUCUUUUGACUUCUUAUCUUUUCUCCUCUUUCUCCCUUUUUUCUGAGUUCAUUUCAAGGACACGCUUAUCAAGUGAUGCUGCCCCUCCGGGCUCAACCAGUGUCCAUUUAACAGCCCCUGCUCUACAUUCUGCCUGGUCUGCCCCUUCCCUCCCUCCUGCCUGGUGGACCUACACUCAGGUCCCACUCGAAUGGGAGUGAGACACUUGUCAGACUAGAAAAUGUUCAGGGUAGAGGAAUAUAGAAACAUUUCAUUGCCAGAGCAGAGUCAGGGCUUUCACACCAGGAUGAGACUCAUUCUAUCUCUGUGACUUAACCUGCUUCUUUGAAAACAUAGAGCUAAUACUGUCUCACUGCUGAGAGACUGAAUCUACAAAUGGACAACGACCAGACCAUCUAUGACAACAGACCUCUGACCCACAACCUCAGCAGCAGCCAGCCUAGGGACUCAAACCACAACGUCUGCAACAGUCAGCCCAGAAUGGUCAGGACUUGGUGAAUAACUGCCAGCUUCACUAUUUUUUGUCCCCACUUUCAACUCAGGAUCAACCAGAGAAAGCCAAAAUUGCUCCCCUAACCAGUCACAUAGGGCACCAUCCCCACUUCUAGUUAGCCCGCCUCCAGCUCCCCCAUGUCCACAGCCUCCAAUCAGGGCAUGACUGAAGCCUUCCCUUUUUCUCAUUAUAAAGCUUUCCCCCUCCUCUGCCUGCCUUGGAAUCUCUGUUGAAGGCAAUGAUGGUGCUGACUCCCUUGCUGCAGCAAGCUCUGAAUAAACGUCCUCUAUUUGGGUGAUCCCAGUUGGGUGGUCUUUAUUUUCACCCCGUGUGGCUAUGAGGCCUAAACAAAAUGGAGUGUAGUCUAGGUGAAGGCAGCUGGGCCAGGGCCCUCCAGGAACACAGCCUGAGUCCUGCCCCAGAGUAAGCUGCCUUUACACUGAAAUAGGUCUGGGGGCUGCUUGGAAAAGAGGGGAAGUCUGCCCAGUGGGUGGGUGGGCUGGGAGGGGUGUGCUUGUGUGUGACUCUUAGUGUCUGAAGACACCAAGGCAGACUCUUCCUGUCAGUGAGCAAGGCCUCAAGCUUCCAGCGAGCACUUUUGUGUCCUGAUGUGCACAGGUCUGCGCACGCAGAAAGAGGGAUGCAUGGGCAGACACCAUGUGGCCCUCCCAGCCUGCCCAGUGCGCGUCAACCACCCGUGGCACGGUGGGACAGGGCCCAGCUCUCCCUGUGUAGCCCACCCAUCUCCAGGUGCUCCCCUCAACACUGGCCUCUUCCUGCCUUUGGUGGGAGGAAAUGGGGGGCGGUUGGGGCUCGACCCUGGAUUUCUGUGGACUCAGGCGGAGCUGGACUUAAAGGCUGCCCCUCACACAUCCCUCGGCUACUCCUCAGCUGAGAACAAGCCCCAGAUGGGGGCACAGGCCUCUCAAUGCCCUGUUCUUCAACAGGUGUCCUUUGAGUCCCUACCUUCCGCCUCAGAACUACUUUAGGAAAAUAACUUCAGCAAGAGAGAGGACUGGACUUGAAUGCAGGAGCUCUGGGUUCAGGUCUGGGCUUGGCCACUUAGUUGAUAACACCUGACAAGCGUGUACUGAACAGCCACUAUAAUAAGCACUAACGUUUUUUGAGUGAUGACUAUGUGUAAGGCACUGUAACAGUGGUUGACAUGGAUCAAAGCAUUUAGCCUCACCACUCGAUGGGUAGCUGCGAUUAUUAUUCUCUCCAUUUUACAGAUGAGGCACAGAGGGGUUACGUGACUUGCCCAAGGUCACCCAGCUUGUAGGUGGAAGGGUCAGAAUUCCAACCCAGGCAGGAACUGUGCUAGCAAGUCUUGAGCCCAGGACCACCACUUACAGGCACUCCCACCACCCUCCCCAGCCGCUCUGACAGCUCCUCUUCCUCUAAUACCUUUGGAUUCAGAGCUGAUGAUGAGGCAAGGCCAGUUCCCUGGAAUGUGGAGCAGCAAAAGGCAACUCCGUCCAAGCACAUUCCCAUGCAUUUGGCUCCCUGCCCUUGCUCUUUGCUUGUUACAAUCUGCUCAGUCUAUGAACUGUGUCUUUCUUGCAAACUUGAAACUUCAUCCACUUUUUAUCCUUUUCAAAAAACACUUAGCCUCCGUGUGUGCUGGUGCCGCUUGCUCUAUGCCUCCCCCAGCCGUGACCUCUGAACCAUGUGCCAAGUGAAGCAAACAGCCGGGGAUGGUGAAUCAGGAUGUUCCACUGAAACUUCGAGGCUGCGAGGCCAGAAGCUGCGAUGGGUCUGCAGCGUGGGGUCUGCUCAGCUGCAGGCAAAUCAGCCUUAGGAAGGAAGCCGCCCGAGGGGCUCUGCUGAGGCCAUCAUGAUUGCUGGGCACCAUGCCGCCCGACUGGCCUGACCCCUCUGCUGCUCAGGCCAAAAGGGCUGUUGCGAGGGAAAUGACAGCAUUUCCAAGAGGGAGAGGCUGAUGAUGGUAAUAGGUGCACAACCCUCUAGAUGCAAUUCCAACAACCCCCAAAGCUCUGAAAAUCAAAAGCUUUUUCAUAUGUUCGAUGCCCAAACUCACAUCCCACUCAGUGUGAACACUCAUACACUGCACUGCAGAAAUACUGACGUGUCUGGUUAUCGGGUGUAACCUCAGACCCUGCUAAGAGCACUGCAUGACACCUGGUACGUGCACCAUAUUACCUUUCUAUAUCUGCAAAAUUCAGAAUUCAGAAUUGUGUCUGGCGCCCAGGGUUUGGGUAUGGGAUUCUGGACCUGUGAUAACAUAUUACAAGUCGGGCAUGGUGCUAAGGGCUUACACAGAUGAUUUCCUGAAUGUCUUACGACAGUCCCAGCUAUAUGAUCCUCACCCUACAGAUGAAGAACCUCAGCUGGGGAGGGAGUGACUUGCCUGAAUCUACACAGACGGAGGGAGCAGAGUCUGCCCGUGGACCUGGGGGAGCACCGCCUGGCAUGAACUGACCAUGUAUGGUGGCCUCCACUGUGCCAUGAGCUUUACAUAUGUUUCCUUAUCGUAAACCUACACAACUCCACAAGGUAGGCAUUAUUGCUCCCAUUGACAGAAAUGAAACCAAGGAUCAGAGAGGUUACACCGCUUGCCCAAGGUCACAGAGCAGGUAACUGGUGGAGCUGGAAUCUAAACCCAGGCUGGUUUGACUCCAGAGCCCCUGCUCCCAACCACUAUAGCACCCUUCCUUCCUUCCUACAUUCAUUCAUUCACUCAUUCAAUAAAUCUCAUUGAGCAAAUUUCCCACAGAGAACGCAGAAUGUGGAAGGAGCGAGAGGUCAUGUGCUGUGGUGGCCACAUGUUCCAGAUGUUUGGAGAGAGACGCAGUUCUACACAUCCUGUCUGGUGGUCAGCACACGUCCUGGCAUUCUGUUUGGGCCCGCCCCUCCUUCUCUACCCUGGAUCAGCACCGGUGCUGCCUGAGGCCUCUCCUGACCCAGCUGGGGUUCUGUCCCUUGAGGGAGAAGGUGAGAGAACGGCCCCUGGACUGGUGCGAGGACUCCUCCUGUGGAAAGAACUGCUCGAGGUGGCCCUGCUGGCAGGCUGAGCAUCCUGUUCUACGUCCUUCUCAGUGAAUCUGGCACCAGGCUUUACCCCACUUCACUGGAAACAGGGUAUUCAUCCAGCAGUGAAGGGGAAGCCCAGCCGGCCUGCCCUGCUUCACCGUCCUCGACGCUCUCCCAUCGCCACAUCUCCCUGGUUGACAAUCAGGAACAAAGGGCAUCUGGCUAUUGACUACCAGACCCCCUUCCUACCAGCCAAUAAAAGCUG